rnacentral:rRNA from 1 species
UACGAAGGGUGCAAGCGUUAUUCGGAAUGAUUGGGCGUAAAGGGUGUGUAGGCUGUAAGUUAAGUCAAUUGUCAAAUUCCUCAGCUUAACUGAGGCACGGCAGUUGAAACUGGCAUACUUGAGGGUGGAAGAGAGAAGCGGAAUUCUCGGAGUAGCGGUAAAAUGCGUAGAUCUCGAGAGGAACACCGAUGGCGAAGGCAGCUUCUUGGUCCACUUCUGACGCUGAGGCACGAAAGCGUGGGGAGCAAACAGG